rnacentral:rRNA from 1 species
GAUCCUGGCUUAGGAUGAACGCUAGCUACAGGCUUAACACAUGCAAGUCGAGGGGCAGCAUGAAGUUUGCUUGCAAACUUGAUGGCGACCGGCGCACGGGUGAGUAACGCGUAUCCAACCUUCCCCUUAGUAGAGGAUAGCCCGGCGAAAGUCGGAUUAAUACUCUAUGUUGUAUUUUUGAGGACAUCUGACGAAUACCAAAGAUUUAUCGCUAAGGGAUGGGGAUGCGUCUGAUUAGCUUGUUGGCGGGUAACGGCCCACCAAGGCGACGAUCAGUAGGGGUUCUGAGAGGAAGGUCCCCCACAUUGGUACUGAGACACGGACCAAACUCCUACGGGAGGCAGCAGUGAGGAAUAUUGGUCAAUGGGCGAGAGCCUGAACCAGCCAAGUAGCGUGCAAGGAAGACUGCCCUAUGGGUUGUAAACUGCUUUUAUCAGGGAAUAAAGUUCGGCACGUGUGCUGUUUUGUAUGUACCUGAUGAAUAAGGACCGGCUAAUUCCGUGCCAGCCGCCGC